rnacentral:lncRNA from 1 species
ACAGUCCUUAACCUGUCACUUUGACUGGGCGCCCGCCCCCGCUCCUCGCCCCCGCCCCCUCCUCGCUCCUCUGCCAGUUCAGUUCCUUAGUGACACGGUGGGAGUUGAUUGAACAGUUGCCGUGCAGGCACAGUUUGGGAGAGGAGGAAAUCCUGCCGAAAACUGUUGACGUUUAAAUGGAUGGAGGAGAAACGGGCCUCUUCCCCCCGAAAACCCAUGACGCCCCGGCCGGGCUUUGUGUCUCCACGCUGUAGCGAGGCCCCGAAGUGACGGAGGAACACAGAGAGGGCACUCAGCCCUCUUUGACCCUCUCCGUCCACGAGACUUUGCCUCUGCCAUUCCUGAUGCCAACAGUGACCUCUCCCAACCUCCUCGACUCAAGAGCCUCCAUCUCCAUCCCUCAUCCAAGCCAAAAGCCUCUUUUGCCUUCCGUUCUCUUCUAGCAACUCACCUACAUCCUAUCCCUCUCUGCUCCCUUCUCUCUCCUUUUUCUCACCUCCUCCCUCUCCAGCUCCAUCUCCCAUCAUUUACCUCAGUGACUGAACAAUUUAACUGCAAUGUGUUCGGGGAUCUAGCCUGCAAGAAAGAGGCGGCACAGAAUAAAGUUGUUCUGUCUGUUCUGUAUUUUAAAAGACAUUUAGUGCUUGGGAGAGAAACCCCAAAACAUAGGGUUUGGUCAUUUGGGCUUGUAUAAAUCUCCCAGGCUCUGAGGUUGGUGAUAUGGUUUAAGGAAAUUGAGGCCCACCCAGCUGCCUACAGUAGCCCCCUUCAGAAGUCCCUCUGGACUGUAAGCUCGUCGUGGGCAGGGAAAAUUGCUAUUCCCUGUCAUUGUUAUUAAUACAGUUCUCUGCAUUCAUUCAUUCAUUCAACCAUAUUUACUGAGCGCUUACUGUGUGCAAAGCACUGUACUAAGCUCUUGGGAGAGUACAAUACAAGAGACACAUUUCUGCCCACAGCGAGCUCACAGUAAGUGCUCAGAAAAUAUUAUUGACUGGCCGACUAGCACCUGUUCCCAUGCCAAAUUUGUAGUUGGGAUGGGGAAAGAUAAGAAGCUUUCUUGUUAGUGCACAUACACACACACACACACUUCGACUCUCAUUGCCCUAGUGCUGCCAACAGCUGCUGCUGCUGUUUGAUCUUCAGAAAAAAAAAAGAAAUCAAGCCUGAAAAGGUACAGGAGGGACAUCUUGAGCCUGCAGCCGUGGUGUGCUGUAAAUUAUAUUCUCUUAACAGGUUUAUUCGUUUAUAAAAUAUUUAAGACCCGUUUCACUUUACCUGUGGCGUUGACGCAUCUAGGACUGGUGCAGAGAUUGAUGUUCUUAAUAUGAUUUAUUCAUUUGGGUUUUCUCUAUCGGGUCUGAUCGCCAGUUAGAAUUUAACCAAGUGGCAAGGUGAGGUGUGUGUGCGUGUGUGUGUGUAUGUGUGUGCAUUUGUGUGUUGUUCUCCCCACCCGGAUUAUAAAUGAUCAUUUGAUUUAUUGAAGCACAGCACUUCUCCAAGCCCAGGAGAGCCAGAGAGCCGGCUGCCCUGGGAAUGAUUUUCCUGAAUGGUUGAUCCCCUCAUUUGGUCCCCAUUUAAGCAGGCUCUAUGCUUGACGAUGUGACGGCAAAUGGAAGAACUCCUGAAACAGCAUUCUGUUGUGAGACAGCCUAGAGAGAACAGGUUUUUUUGCUCCCUUCAAGGUUUCCUGAGGCUCAGAGAAACGGUUCACCACUCACUGUCGAGGUGACCUAGGGGUAAAACCAACCACCAC